GUAGGCCUACGGGAGGCAGCAGUGAGGAAUAUUGGUCAAUGGGCGCGAGCCUGAACCAGCCAAGUCGCGUGAGGGAAGACGGUCCUAUGGAUUGUAAACCUCUUUUGUCGGGGAGCAAAAGACGCCACGCGUGGCGUUCCGAGAGUACCCGAAGAAAAAGCAUCGGCUAACUCCGUGCCAGCAGCCGCGGUAAUACGGAGGAUGCGAGCGUUAUCCGGCUUUAUUGGGUUUAAAGGGUGCGCAGGCGGAAGAUCAAGUCAACGGUAAAAUUGAGAGGCUCAA
rnacentral:rRNA from 1 species